GAUGAACGCUGGCGGCGUGCCUAAUACAUGCAAGUCGAGCGAACGGGCGAGAAGCUUGCUUCUCUGAUGUUAGCGGCGGACGGGUGAGUAACACGUGGAUAACCUACCUAUAAGACUGGGAUAACUUCGGGAAACCGGAGCUAAUACCGGAUGAUAUUUUGAACCGCAUGGUUCAAAAGUGAAAGACGGUCUUGCUGUCACUUAUAGAUGGAUCCGCGCUGCAUUAGCUAGUUGGUAAGGUAACGGCUUACCAAGGCAACGAUGCAUAGCCGACCUGAGAGGGUGAUCGGCCGCACUGGAACUGAGACACGGUCCAGACUCCUACGGGAGGCAGCAGUAGGGAAUCUUCCGCAAUGGGCGAAAGCCUGACGGAGCAACGCCGCGUGAGUGAUGAAGGUCUUCGGAUCGUAAAACUCUGUUAUUAGGGAAGAACAUAUGUGUAAGUAACUGUGCACAUCUUGACGGUACCUAAUCAGAAAGCCACGGCUAACUACGUG
rnacentral:rRNA from 1 species